UGCCCGGGGCACAGCAGACGAAAGGUGCCCGAAAUGUCUACGUUCACCCAUGACGUCACGUCCGCUAUAACCCAUGAUGUCACAUCCGCUCAUUUCCAUGGCGGCCGUCCUACGGAGCCGGCUGCGCUGCGAAACGGUCCGUAUUCCGUGCCCACUUAGAGCGGAACUCACUCGCAUGCGGGGAACUGCAUAACUAGCCACGGGAUUACCGUGCCUCUUGGGAAGCUGCUUUGCAUCAAAGGCCAGGUACCCUUGCUAUGAUUCACCGCAACAUAUUUUGUAUGUCUAACCGCAUAACAUAUUUGUAUUGCAGUGAAGCUAACCUUACGGAACCGAAUUUCGCAACGCUUUUUAGACUCCUGCAUCUCUACCAGCCACUACCAAACGCUUGUCGGUACGUCUCUUGGCAAAGGUCCAGGUAAAUCUCCCCUGUUGGGAGUUGGGGGGACUCACGUAUAUGAAAACUGCCAAGGAAAGCAGUUGCCCUGAUGAAGGCACGCUCCCCUGUCGAAACAUUUGCACCAGCCUGUUCGACCACCGUUAUCACCGCAACAUAUUUGUGUGUUGCGGUGAAGCAUGCCGAUAUUGGGAAAGAUUUACGUGAAUCUGGAAUGUAUGGUUUCUGUCAGCGACUAACCUAAUGUUCUACUCUCAUCAAAGCAGAUUUUCGUGGCAGGAUGCAUGAUGUCUUGAGAACUUUUGUUGGCUAAAGCCAUACAUGCAAGGUUAGCUCUUGUCACAAUAAUACGCUUUACCGCAAUACACAAGAGGCCCUGCUGCAGGACACGCCCGCCGUAGUUAGCCAAAACCUUAUGUGAUGGUUCACUGCAAAACACCUCCUGUAUUGCGGUGAAUCGUAAUAAAGCGCAUUUGUCAGUUUAGAAUGUAAAGACCCUUGCCCUUCGCUUUUGUAAUAAUAUGACUCAGUUUAAUGAGAACAUGUAUUCACUGCUAAAAACAUCCACAUUGAAAUGGAGAUAUGAACACUGAUGGCAGCCUGUGUGAUGUUUUAUCCCUUUACUUUUUUGUGUACCUGUCACGCUGCCAUUAUUAAAUUUUCCUGUACUUUGUUAGGUGCUGACGUACAUAACAUUACAUCACAAAGAGCCACUGUGUAAUUAGUGUUCAAGGACCAGCGUGAUGGCUUUACUCAAGAAAGAUUUGGGUUAUGUUGUUGUGAAGGUUUUUUUUAGAGGUAGCUUUCUGAGAAGAAAUCAGAUGUCAGGAAAUAGAUCUCAGUGGCACAGUAAUCUUGGCUGCCUUUUGCUCAAACGUGCCCUAGACAUAACUGAGUGAUUUGCACUUGCAACUGGACAGCAGCCGUAGCUUGGGAGACCCAGUGAUAUGGCAUAUGUUAUCAAACUAGGUGACACAUAGCAUUACCAGUCCGAAUAGAGACCUGUUUAAAUGUUUGUCACCUUUAAGACCUAGAUUUUCGACCAUGAAUUCAGAAAAAUUUGUAGCACAUUUAGAACCUAGAUUUUAAAUGCUGUAUAAGUUGGCUUGUUCACUGCAGCUGUGCUCGGCUUCUGUCCAAACGGGAGUGCACUUCUGCACAGCUUAUUAGGGAAUAUUCUUAUUUACAUACCAUCUUUUUAUUUAUCUCGCCUACAAUCACAAUCAAAUGUUUAUGGCACAUGAAUGUGCUGUGCAUGAAUCUAACUUACAAUGCCAUGUUCAACAGCACAGUGCAUGUAGCUUGUGUUGGUUCAUUCAAGCUAAGCAUUGCUACAGCCUUUAACUGUAGGUAUCAUGGUAUGAGAGCAGAGAAAUGGAUAUGCAAAGACAGUUGGGCACAUUGAGACAAUAUCUUUGUUGUGUGUGGAAAGGUGACAGAUAUACCAUAUGGGGAGAACGCAUGCACUUUCAUAUUUUCUCGCGCACAAAAAAAAGCCGGAGGAAUAAGGUUUCUUCACUGUGCCAUAGAAACUAUAUGUUUGCUCUCAAAGGUAAUUCUGAUUCAUUGGAUAUGUUCCUGUGCUGUGUUUAUUUUCUGGAGUGUGCUUUAGUUUUUGCACGUUAAUGUUUCAAACUCGUUUUUAUUUUCACAGACUGAACAUCCCACGUCUUGGUUUGACUUCCUGGUACAGGAUACUUGCACUUAGCAUGGAGUGAUGAAGCAGAGCAGUGUACUUUUAUUAAAGUGCAGAUUUUAGCAGUAUAACAGCAGUUCACUAAAAAACAUAUGUGCUGAAAAUAAAGUGUUCUUACCCACA